GAUGAACGCUAGCGGGAGGCCUAACACAUGCAAGCCGAGCGGUAGAGUUUCUUCGGAAACUUGAGAGCGGCGCACGGGUGCGUAACACGUGUGCAACCUACCUUUAUCUGGGGGAUAGCCUAUCGAAAGGAAGAUUAAUACCCCAUAAUAUAAUGAUUGGCAUCAAUUAUUAUUGAAAACUCCGGUGGAUAGAGAUGGGCACGCGCAAGAUUAGAUAGUUGGUGAGGUAACGGCUCACCAAGUCAAUGAUCUUUAGGGGUCCUGAGAGGGAGAUCCCCCACACUGGUACUGAGACACGGACCAGACUCCUACGGGAGGCAGCAGUGAGGAAUAUUGGACAAUGGGUGAGAGCCUGAUCCAGCCAUCCCGCGUGAAGGAUGACGGUCCUAUGGAUUGUAAACUUCUUUUGUACAGGGAUAAACCUACCCUCGUGAGGGUAGCUGAAGGUACUGUACGAAUAAGCACCGGCUAACUCCGUG
rnacentral:rRNA from 1 species